rnacentral:rRNA from 1 species
AUUGAACGCUGGCGGGAUGCUUUACACAUGCAAGUCGAACGAGUGGCGGAAGGGUUGGUAAAAUAUCGUAACGUGCCCAGUAGCGGGGGGUAACUACUCGGAAGGGUGGCUAAAAACGCAUACUAUUGGCGCGGACGGUAUCGGAUUAGCUAGUUGGUGGGGUAAAGGCUCACCAAGGCAACGAUUCGUAGCUGGGUUGAGAGGACGACCAGCCACACUGGGACUGAGACACGGCCCAGACUCCUACGGGAGGCAGCAGUGGGGAAUUUUGGACAAUGGGGGAAACCCUGAUCCAGCCAUCCCGCGUGUAUGAGAAGGCCUUCGGGUUGUAAAGUACUUUUGGCAGAGAAGCGGUAUCUGCAGAAUAAGCACCGGCUAACUACGUGCCAGCAGCCGCGGUAAUUC